AUGGACGAGACACAACAAAAUCUUUCUUGUACUGUUACUCCUGGUGUAAGGUUCUCUGACGUUCUGCUUCCAGAACAUGCCAAGACGCAGGAGACUGUUUACCGGCCGGGCCACGCUGGUCCUGCCGCCCGCCCGAAUGGGCCCGCAUUAGUCGGGUGCCACCGGUCGGGCGCGGUGGGGACUAGUGGCAGCGGUUCGGUGCCAGCUGCUCUGGGUCGGAGGUGGUUCUGGUUUGCACUUCAUGACGUGAAUUCAAGCAACAUGCUGUUUACAGUCAUAACGCUUUUUCUUUACCUUUAUUUCUUCCAGGGGGUCAAAAACCCACCAUCGAUAUCAAGGUUUGAAAUAAACAACACUUUCUUUGCUACUUUUAAGCUUAAUAAAUCUCUUGAGCCUAUGGUUAACCUCUCUGACAAACAGGUUGUGCUUAACCCUUUGGUUCCUGAUGUAUUUUCUCUUUCCACUAUGUUAGGGGCUGACCAUCUCUCCAGCAUGGGUGUGAAUUUCUCAGGCUGUGACCCGCCGCUUCAGUCAGAGGUCUGCUUUAAUCGUCAGUCCGCCUCAUGCACAAACCGGCUUGUUUCUCGGGGCGCGAUGAAAACAUCAGCCGCCGUGAAGCAUUUGUGGCCUCCAAACGUGGCCAUCUUACCAUUUGAAGGGUUUGCGCACGGACAUCUUGACCUUUCUGUAAAUGACCUUGUCAUUUCUCAGUUUGUGACCUCUGCUAAUACGGUGGCCAAUUCUUUUCUCCUUUCACAGGGGUGUGACUUUGUCUCUGGCCUCUGUGUUCUAUUUCCUGUGAUUUCUCUUUCAGGUGACCACAACGGCGCAGUAAAACCUGCGGUUUCCAGUAGUCAAGUGGUCAGUGGCGAUAUUGAGGGGGCUCCGGUGGUUGCUGCGGGCAUCUCUCUCACGGGCCCGGGGGCGCCACCCGGCCCGGGAGCAGUAGGUGCGUGCAGUGAUGCCCUGCUCGGGGCCCCGCCUGACAAAGGGGGGGUGCCGAGUGGCACUGAGUUUUCAGUUGCGGACUUCAGGCUGUUCGGGGGAAACCCUCCUCCGAGCGGUUGGGUCAUUGGCGAAUUCGACACUGACCUUCCAUCGAUUCAGCUGACAACUUUGACCUCCGACCCGGAGACAGGUGGUACACCUUCUAAAGGGCGGAAUUCUAGUCAGUCUGUAAAUACUCUGGUUAAACCGGGUUUUUCUGAUUCUGUGUGGGAACCUCCAUCAUUCUUGGGAAUAAAGUAUUCUUGGCUUCAGUUUUCAGGGCAGAACAUGUUCCUUUCGAUAGUGUCAUGUCUGUAUCUGAUUCUAAACAUGGCUAGGUUUGCUUUGACACCCGUGACACAACCAUCCUUGGAUCACUCCUUUUCAGAACCUCCUAGUCCGACACCUCCAGGUCUGUGGACAUCUGAACACCUACUCUUUCAGCACGAUUCAGGUGAUGCUGUGCAUCUUCUUGGUAAUAGGGCUUUUAUGAGCUUAGGAACUGUUCUUUGUUAUGCUUCUCCUGUCUCACAGACGCGGCAUAAGUUUGAGAAACAAAAGGGGGGUGGGGAGCCUCCUCCUGCUUUGCGAGCAUCAUUUUCGCAUCUCCAGUUCACUCCAAUUUCUGAUCACAACAAAGUCGCCUCCAUUAAGCUGCAACACAAUUUUGAGCAGGAAAAAACAGGUUCUGAUCUAACAGCUAAACCAUCAGCUUCGCUCCAGUUCCAAACGGGACCCGCAGGUAAAUUCAAACAAGUUUCCCUGUGGGUUCGUAACACCAGAUAUAAACCGCAUGAUGACCAAAUCUAUUAUGACACGGCUCCCACAGAUACGUCCAAACUCGUGUCUGUGGGUCCGCAAUACCAGAUUCAAAACGCUUACUGA
ensembl:lncRNA